GGAUGUGAAGGCGAUCUGGCUGCGACAUCUGUCACCCCAUUGAUUGCCAGGGUUGAUUCAGCUGAUCUGGCUGGCUAGGCGGGUGUCCCCUUCCUCCCUCAUUACUCCAUGUGUGUCCCUCCCGAAGCUGUGCGCUAGGUCGAAGAGGACGACCUUCCCCAAUAGAGGAGGACUGUUCUUCGGUCAAGGGUAUACAAGUAGCUGUGCUCCCUUGCUAGAACCUCCAAACAAAUUCUCAAGGUCCAUUUGUAGGAGAGCAUAGGGUAGUCAAGCUUCCAAGACUCCAGACACAUCCAAAUGAGGUGCUGCACAUGGCAGUCUGCCUUUCUUU
rnacentral:snRNA from 1 species